rnacentral:lncRNA from 1 species
AGAUAUUUUCAAAGAAAACAUGUAAUAGUGCUCGAUUCAUCUUGUAUCUAUAUAUAUCUGAGAAGGAUAGAUAAUAUCAUACUGGGGAUUUUCAUGAAAGUAAUAGAGGUGAGAGAAUAGGCCAAGAGACCAUAGAUUCAUAGCAAAAUAAGAGGAAACUCUUACUCACAGUCGAGAAAAUGGCUUGAAAUAGGGUAGUAAGCAAAGUAUCAAACCAGAACCGCUUGGGUUCCCUAAGAUCGUCUCAAGGAUCCAUGGUGCGUAGAAGGCCAAGACUGGCCAGAGAAGACAUGGAAACAUCACUGGAUUGAGAUAUAUACCGGUGAUAGCAUUUUAGAACUAGGGUUCAGUCGAGAGAGUUGAGAGAACAGGAAAGGAGUGACGACGGG